UACGUAGGUGGCAAGCGUUGUCCGGAAUUACUGGGCGUAAAGCGCGCGUAGGCGGCUUUGUAAGUUAGAGGUGAAAGCCCGGAGCUCAACUCCGGAAUUGCCUUUAAGACUGCAUCGCUAGAAUCAUGGAGAGGUGAGUGGAAUUCCGAGUGUAGAGGUGAAAUUCGUAGAUAUUCGGAAGAACACCAGUGGCGAAGGCGACUCACUGGACAUGUAUUGACGCUGAGGUGCGAAAGCGUGGGGAGCAAACAGG
rnacentral:rRNA from 1 species